CCCUUAGAUGUUCUGGGCUGCACGCGCGCUACACUGAUGCAUGCAACGAGUUUUCGACCUUGCCUGAAAAGGUUGGGUAAUCUGUUUAACAUGUGUCGUGAUGGGGAUAGACCAUUGCAAUUAUUGAUCUUCAACGAGGAAUUCCUAGUAAGCGCGAGUCAUCAGCUCGUGCUGAUUAUGUCCCUGCCCUUUGUACACACCGCCCGUCGCUCCUAUCGAUUGAGUGAUCCGGUGAAUGAUUCGGACCAGCGUGCUGCUCAGAUCCUGCGCAGUGUGCUGGGAAGUCUAGUGAACCUUAUCACUUAGAGGAAGGAGAAGUCGUAACA
rnacentral:rRNA from 1 species